GGGGCUGUGGCUCAAUAGUAGUGCAACUGUUUGUCAUGCAGAAGGUCUCAGGUUCAAUUCCUGACAUCUCCA